UACAGAGGGUGCAAGCGUUGUUCGGAAUUAUUGGGCGUAAAGCGCGUGUAGGCGGCUUUGCAAGUCGGGGUGUGAAAGCCCUCAGCUACAACUGAGGAAGUGCGCCCGAAACUGCAGAGCUUGAGUGCCGGAGAGGGUGGCGGAAUUCCUGGUGUAGCGGUGAAAUGCGUAGAUAUCAGGAGGAACACCGGUGGCGAAGGCGGCCCCCUGGACGGUGACUGACGGCUGAGACGCGAAAGCUAGGGGAGCAAACGGGG
rnacentral:rRNA from 1 species